CGCGCAGGCGGCUUGGCAAGUCGGGUGUGAAAUCCCGGGGCUCAACCCCGGGGACUGCAUUCGAUACUGUCAGGCUAGAGGUAGGUAGGGGAGAUCGGAAUUCCUGGUGUAGCGGUGAAAUGCGCAGAUAUCAGGAGGAACACCGGUGGCGAAGGCGGAUCUCUGGGCCUUACCUGACGCUCAGGCGCGAAAGCUAGGGGAGCGAACA
rnacentral:rRNA from 1 species